GAUGAACGCUGACAGAAUGCUUAACACAUGCAAGUCUUUGGCGAAGCUGUGCUUGCACCGCCUAGCCAAGGCGGACGGGUGAGUAACGCGUAAGGAACUUGCCCUGCAGUCAGGGAUAACAGACGGAAACGACUGAUAAGACCUGGUAAAGUCAGGCGGACUCAUGUCCAGCCUGAUGAAAAGAGAUGCUGCAGGAGAGCCUUGCGUCCUAUUAGCUUGUUGGUGGGGUAGCGGCCCACCAAGGCGAUGAUAGGUAGCCGGCCUGAGAGGGUGGACGGCCACAAGGGGACUGAGAUACGGCCCUUACUCCUCCGGGCGGCAGCCGUGGGGCCUCUUGGACACUGGGGGCAACCCUGAUCCAGCAAUUCUGUGUGCACGAUGAAGGUUUUCGGAUUGUAAAGUGCUUUCAGCAGGGAAGACAAAAAUGACGGUACCUGCAGAAGAAGCGACGGCUCAAUACGUG
rnacentral:rRNA from 1 species